UACGUAGGGUGCGAGCGUUAAUCGGAAUUACUGGGCGUAAAGUGGGCGCAGGCGGCAGAGCAAGUCGAGUGGGAAAGUCCUGGGCUCAACCUGGGAACUGCGCUUGAUACGGCAGAGCUAGAGGAUGGAAGAGGGUCGCGGAAUUCCCAGUGUAGAGGUGAAAUUCGUAGAUAUUGGGAAGAACACCGGUGGCGAAGGCGGCGACCUGGUCCAUUACUGACGCUGAGGCGCGACAGCGUGGGGAGCAAACAGG
rnacentral:rRNA from 1 species